UGGUGUAAUGGUAAGCACCCUGGACUCUGAAUCCAGCAAUCAGAGUUCCAGUCUCAG
rnacentral:tRNA from 1 species